UCCGAGUUGACCCCGGCAGUCUCCUAUGAGUUCCCACCAUCACGUGCUGGCAACAUAGAACGAGGGUUGCGCUCGUUGCGGGACUUAACCCAACAUCUCACGACACGAGCUGACGACAACCAUGCACCACCUGUACACCAACCUCAAAGAGGAGGACCUGUUUCCAGGACGGUCUGGUGUAUGUCAAGCCUUGGUAAGGUUCUUCGCGUUGCAUCGAAUUAAUCCGCAUGCUCCGCCGCUUGUGCGGGCCCCCGUCAAUUCCUUUGAGUUUUAGCCUUGCGACCGUACUCCCCAGGCGGGGCACUUAAUGCGUUAGCUACGGCGCGGAGAACGUGGAAUGUCCCCCACACCUAGUGCCCAACGUUUACGGCAUGGACUAC
rnacentral:misc_RNA from 1 species